UCGGUCAAUCGGAUAUUUCUUUCUAGUGAAGCAGUCUGGUAAAUUCUCAGUACGUAUAUGGUUUACAAUAACUGGAGUAUUUUACAUAGCUGUUGCAAACAUCCUCUCCGCCAUAUAUUUCUCCUUUUACAUAAAUACUUGUGCAUGUUAUUUGUGAUAUAUGGAUGCAAAUAUUGAGAUGUCGUCUGAAGAGAAGGAAUUUGACCGACUUCUUUCGGUCACCCUCAUGAUCCUGUCUAUACAAACGCUGAUCGAUGAUAUACUACGAAGGCGUUCUGAACAUAAGCCAACGGUACGUUUUUAUGAAGAUGACUUUGUUGAGCACGUGGAAGACGCAAGAAAGGACAAUCAUCCAGCAGGAGACAUGGGGUCUGAUUCGUGUAGUUGUUCCUGUUGUGAGUCAGAUUACUAAGUUCAGCAGCAACUUUGCCCCGUUUUUACAUCACGUAAAAUGCCUCUGACUGUUUGUCACAAUGCCUUUGUCAUACCCACGUGUUAAUUCAGUCAUUGUUAUUACUCGUAUACAUGCUUCGUAAGUAAAAA